rnacentral:rRNA from 1 species
UAGUCUGGUGCCAGCAGCCGCGGUAAUUCCAGCUCCAAGAGCGUAUAUUAAAGUUGUUGCAGUUAAAAAGCUCGUAGUUGGAUUUCUGGUACAAUGCGCCUGGCCCGCGACGGUUACGUCUGUGAGUGCCGGUGCGCGUUUGCCAUCCUUCUAGAGAACGUUGCUACCCUUUACUGGGCUGGUUUCGCGAUCUAGAUCUUUUACUUUGAAAAAAUUAGAGUGUUCAAAGCAGGCUGUUGCUGUGCAUACAUUAGCGUGGAAUAAUAAUCUAGGACUUCGGUUCUAUUUUGUUGGUUUCUAGUACUGAAGUAAUGAUUGAUAGGGAUAGUUGGGGGUGCUAGUAUUGGCCGGCCAGAGGUGAAAUUCUUGGAUUCGGUCAAGACUAACUUAUGCGAAAGCAUUCACCAAGGAUGUCUUCUUUAAUCAAGAACGAAAGUUGGGGGAUCGAAGACGAUCAGAUACCGUCGUAGUCUCAACCAUAAACUAUGCCAACUAGGGAUGGGUGAACGUUGUCUUUUGACUUCAUCCGCACCUUAUGAGAAAUCAAAGUCUUUGGGUUCCGGGGGGAGUAUGGUCGCAAGGCUGAAACUUAAAGGAAUUGACGGAAGGGCACCACCAGGAGUGGAGCCUGCGGCUUAAUUUGACUCAACACGGGAAAACUUACCAGGUCCGGACAUAGUGAGGAUUGACAGAUUGAAGAUCUUUCUUGAUUCUAUGGGUGGUGGUGCAUGGCCGUUCUU